rnacentral:lncRNA from 1 species
GGGGAAAAUUCCUUCAACAACAGGGACUUAAUAAAGAGGCUGGUCGAAGGGUGCAUUCUGCCCGAGGUAGUCGAGAGGAUCGUCCUCGUCGAUCCCGAGCUAUGGGACUGGAACUCUCUGGGAUCUUUCCUCGAAGUAGGUUAACUCAUCCUUUUUUUCCUUCCUGCUUUAAUUUAUUCUUCAGUCCUUAUGUCGACUCCCC